rnacentral:rRNA from 1 species
GAGUUUGAUCCUGGCUCAGAUUGAACGCUGGCGGCAGGCCUAACACAUGCAAGUCGAGCGGAUGACGGGAGCUUGCUCCUUGAUUCAGCGGCGGACGGGUGAGUAAUGCCUAGGAAUCUGCCUGGUAGUGGGGGACAACGUUUCGAAAGGAACGCUAAUACCGCAUACGUCCUACGGGAGAAAGCAGGGGACCUUCGGGCCUUGCGCUAUCAGAUGAGCCUAGGUCGGAUUAGCUAGUUGGUGGGGUAAUGGCUCACCAAGGCGACGAUCCGUAACUGGUCUGAGAGGAUGAUCAGUCACACUGGAACUGAGACACGGUCCAGACUCCUACGGGAGGCAGCAGUGGGGAAUAUUGGACAAUGGGCGAAAGCCUGAUCCAGCCAUGCCGCGUGUGUGAAGAAGGUCUUCGGGAUUGUAAAGCACUUUAAGUUGGGAGGAAGGGCAGUAAGUUAAUACCUUGACUGUUUUGACGUUACCGACAGAAUAAGCACCGGCUAAACUCUGUGCCAGCCGCCGUACCG